UGUAUGUAACAAGUAUACAAGAAGCAAUAAACUCAGAGUUUGUCAAGCUGUGUCCUGCAGCUUCAAACCUCUGCUCAAGACAUGCCUGCAUCUUUUUCUUAGCGUCUUACAGUCCUGAAUUCCAGGGAUGUAAAGAUUCAGCAGGAAUCUUUAUUUACUAGCUUUUAUAAGUCCCAUUCCACAGACUUACUGUAUAUGUACUAGUGAAUCCUAACGAAAGGGCUCAGAUGAAAAGUUUUUGUCAUCAUUUAUUGGCCUUUUUAAUUUCCCUUUUAUGCUUACACUGCUAGAUCACAAACCACACUUUUUAAAACAUCAGAUAGAAAUCUAGCAGGAGUAUCUGCAAUAAUGUAUGAAUAAAAAGCAUGAUGAUCAUCUUCAUAUUUAGGUUCCCUUACUUCCACUGUUGUUAAAUAAAAUUAUUCAUUUUUUACUAAGCUGCCCAGAAUCGCUGAGAGUGAGUGGGUGGCCAUAUAAAUUUUCUAAAUAAAUAAAUAUUAUUUUUUAAAACAUUUAAACAUUAAAGAUGGUAUUUUGGCAAGUGAAACUUUAAAAAAUUCCCAGGUAUUACAAAAUCCCUAACAGAUCAUCCAUCAUUUUUCAAAGCAAAUCAAUAAACGGUAUUUUAAUAAACUGAUUUAUGUUUUUAUAACUAUUAAAAUCUGUCAAUAAACACAUUAUACUUAAAUUUUGCUUUCAAAGGAAACAGGAAACUAAAUAGACAAACAGAAAAGAAAGUUGACAUACUCUUCAGAUGAGUCACUGGGCUUGGUGUUGAUUUUCACAAGGACAAGGAGCAUAUGCAUAAGGAGCCCUGUGGCACAGUGAUUAGAAUGCAGUAUUGGAGGCAAACUCUGACUACAACUUGAAGUUUAAUCCUGAUGGGGUUCAAGGAUGAUUCAGCCUUCCAUCUUUCUGAGGGAAAGUGAACAAAAGAAGAGGAAGAGGAAACUUGCUGAGGUUAAAGGCACC